rnacentral:rRNA from 1 species
ACGGGGUGCAGCAGGCGCGAAAACUUGGCAAUGCGAGAAAUCGUGACCAGGGAACUCCAAGUGCAUGGGGUAAGACCCAUGCUUUUCUUGACUCUAAAUAGGUCUUGGAAUAAGGGGUGGGUAAGGACGGUGCCAGCCGCCGCGGUAAUACCGGCGCUUCAAGUGGUAGUCGCUUUUAUUGGGCCUAAAACGUCCGUAGCCGGUCUGAUACAUUCGUGGGUAAAUCAACCAGCUUAACUGGUUGAAUUCUGCGAGGACGGUCAGACUUGGGACCGGGAGAGGUGUGGGGUACGCUCAGGGUAGGGGUAAAAUCCUGUCAUCCUGAGCGGACCACCUGUUGCGAAGGCGCCACACUAGAACGGAUCCGACGGUCAGGGACGAAGCCUAGGGGCACGAACCGGAUUAGAUACCCGGGUAGUCCUAGGUGUAAACGCUGUGGACUUGAUGUUGGGGGUGCUCCGAGCACUCUCAGUGUCGAAGCGAAGGUGAUAAGUCCACUGCCUGGGAAGUACGGUCGCAAGGCUGAAACUUAAAGGAAUUGGCGGG